rnacentral:rRNA from 1 species
CCUACGGGUGGCAGCAGUAGGGAAUAUUGCUCAAUGGGGGAAACCCUGAAGCAGCAACGCCGCGUGGAGGAUGAAGGUUUUCGGAUUGUAAACUCCUUUUGUUAGAGAAGAUAAUGACGGUAUCUAACGAAUAAGCCCCGGCUAACUCCGUGCCAGCAGCCGCGGUAAUACGGAGGGUGCAAGCGUUACUCGGAAUUACUGGGGGUAAAGAGCGCGUAGGCGGGAUUGCAAGUCAGCUGUGAAAUCCUAUGGCUUAACCAUAGAACUGCAUUUGAAACUAGUAGGCUAGAGUAUGGGAGAGGUAGGUGGAAUUCUUGGUGUAGGGGUAAAAUGCGUAGAGAUCAAGAGGAAUACUCAUUGCGAAGGCGACCUGCUAGAACAUAACUGACGCUGAUGCGCGAAAGCGUGGGGAGCAAACAGGAUUAGAUACCCCUGUAGUC